CGGUGCUGUGCUCUGACUUACUAACUAACCCAGCCCUACUAACCUGGUUUUCUCUUUGUACUAACCCAGCCCUGCCGAGCUCUGGGC
ensembl:misc_RNA